CUGUAACUGUGAGAACGGCUGGACAGGACUCAAAUGUGAUCAAGACAUCGACGAGUGCGCGAGCAGCCCUUGUUGGCUGGGAGGGACCUGCCUGGAUCAUGUGGACGGCUACAGCUGUGUCUGUCCUAAAGAUGCCACAGGGAAGAACUGUGAAACUGUACCUUUUGCAGGGGAAUGCUACCAAUUUUCGAC